AAAAUUUUAGUUUUUUAAAAAAUUUAAUAUUUACAAUAUUAAGAUAUUUCAAUAAUAAAUUUUA
rnacentral:tRNA from 1 species